AAAACGCGUACGCCAGCUGGUCAAGCCUUUGAAACUUCAGCGCAAAAUAACUGGCAGCGCCAUGGGUGCACAUGCGCUGUCAGGACUCGCCCUCCCGCCAAGAGCCCUCCAGACAACACCCCAAAAGGGAGGAGCAAUCGUGCCCCCUCUGGUCCGCCUCCGAAC
rnacentral:lncRNA from 1 species